rnacentral:tRNA from 1 species
GCCAACGUACGCCAAUGGUAGGCGCCCGGUCCAGAAAACCGAGAGGUACGGAAACGUCGUGGAGGUUCGAGUCCUUCCGUUGGCGCCA